CCUUUGGUAAAAAGGAGAGGCGGUUGGCAUCUCCCCAGGGAUGGGAAUGGUCUUUAGACUUUCCUAUGGAGCAGCAUAUUACGGUUAAUUAAGGCUACCCGCUUCGGUGGAUCUUACCCAAAAUUUUU